UACGUAGGGGGCAAGCGUUGUCCGGAAUUAUUGGGCGUAAAGAGCUUGUAGGCGGUUUGUCGCGUCUGCUGUGAAAAUCCGGGGCUCAACCCCGGACUUGCAGUGGGUACGGGCAGACUAGAGUGUGGUAGGGGAGACUGGAAUUCCUGGUGUAGCGGUGAAAUGCGCAGAUAUCAGGAGGAACACCGGUGGCGAAGGCGGGACUCUGGGCCGAUACUGACGCUGAGGAGCGAAAGCGUGGGGAGCAAACAGG
rnacentral:rRNA from 1 species